rnacentral:lncRNA from 1 species
ACUCUCUUCUAUCAGUCUCCUCACUCCUAUCUCUCAUGUCUCCUUUUCCUCCCACCGUUCCUGUCACCCACGCAGCACGCCGGAGCAGCAGUAGCAGUCGAGCUCGGCAUCAGCUCCCUUGCUGCUCACUUUGCAGCACCUCGCCAGCUCCCUGGUAACACUCUGCACCUGCCGUCGAACUCUCUCAGGUUCGGUCAUCCCUGCUCCCUUCCAAAUCAACGCCCCUCCACUCGACUCUACUACUGUGUCGUGCGCGCGCUUCCUCCUGCUUCCGUCGCUGGGUGCGUGCUCAUCUUCCGUCGCGUGCCACCUGGUCGAUAGAAUGAGCAGUUUGGUCGUCCCCAUCUCGCCGUGGUUCGUCCUCACCAUGUUUUCAGAUGUGUUUGGGCUGAGAUGCCAUUCAAAAUCGAUGAUCUGUUCGUCGCCACCGGCCGCAAGCACCAGUUUUGUUGAACGUGAGAACGUCUUAAUCUGUUGAUAUGAGUUGAAAAUUGAUGUGUCGAUCUGUGGUUUGACCUAGUGUUCUCGUCAUGUCUAUGUUCUGGUCGAGGCCCUAGAUACGUGAUUGAAGAUCCUUUGUGGUGAUGAAGGUGAAAUCAGCAUAGCACUCGCCAAGCAUUCUACAGAAGAGCUCCCAAAAUAAAGAGUGAAGAUUUAAGAUGAAGUGGUUGUUGAAGAGGAGUUUACUCCAGUGCCUGUUCAUCAAGUGGAUGGAGCCAU